AUUGAACGCUGGCGGCAGCUCUAACACAUGCAAGUCGAACGAGCGGCGGACGGGUGAGGACUGUUUGGGAAACUGCCUGAUGGAGGGGGUUCACACCUGGAAACGGUAGCUAAUACCGCAUACUAUCGGAUGUGCCCAGAUGGGUUUAGCUAGUAGGUGGGGUAACGGUUCACCUAGGCGGCGAUCCCUAGCUGGUCUGAGAGGAUGACCAGGCACACUCGAACUGAGACACGGUCCAGACACCUACGGGAGGCAGCAGUGGUGAAUAUCGCACAAUGGGCGCAAGCCUGAUGCAGCCAGGCCGCGUGUAUGAAGAAGGCCUUCGGGUUGUAAAGUACUUUCAGCGGGGAGGCGUUACCCGCAGAAGAAGCACCGGCUAACUCCGUGCCAGCAGCCGCGGUAAUUC
rnacentral:rRNA from 1 species